rnacentral:lncRNA from 1 species
GCCAAGGCUGUGAAGUCUGGUACAGUGAAGAAGAAGACCAAGAAGAUCCGCACGUCUGUGACAUUUCACCGCCCCAAGACCCUGAAGAAGGCUAGGGACCCGAAGUACCCAAGAGUCAGCGCUCCUGGAAGGAACAAGCUUGAUCAGUACCAAAUCCUGAAGUACCCUCUCACCACUGAAUCAGCAAUGAAGAAGAUUGAAGAUAACAACACUCUGGUCUUCAUCGUGGACCUCAAGGCGGACAAGAAGAAGAUCAAGGCUGCUGUCAAGAAGAUGUAUGACAUUCAGGCAAAGAAGGUCAACACCCUGAUCAGGUUAGCGCAUUUGCUCCAGUGUUAAUUGUUCACUUGUUUUGUAUUGUCUAUGUUGUGUUGCUAAUCGAUCAAACCUGUGUUGGUGUAGGCCUGAUGGGAAGAAGAAGGCUUACGUGAAGCUGACACCGGACUACGAUGCUCUUGAUGUGGCCAACAAAAUCGGCAUCAUCUAAGUUACUUGCUACUGUAUUAGGCAUCUGUGUCCUAGUUCU